rnacentral:lncRNA from 1 species
CCGGCCUCCCUCUGCAGAUUCUACGUGGGCUCAAGAUUCAGCCUUUCUUCCUCAGGAAGGGAGGGGUGCACGCUUGGAAAUGGGAGAGUCCUGCCUUUUUUCCUUUCCCAUGUGUGCUCCCAGGGCCGGGAUGAGGUCAUGUUAGAAGUGGAUCUGGGGUCUUGGAUGAGGUCAGCACUUGGGCAGAGUUGGAAUGGGCUGGUGUCAGGUUGGUGAGGGAGGGAAUUGGGAUCCAUGCUGGGGUCAGAGAUCAGGCUCUAAGCUCUUUUACAGGGCUUGACCCUGGGGACUGAGAGGUGGAGAAGACACAGUCCCAUCUGUCUCACGGCAGAGACAGGUUUGGGGGCACACGUGAAGGUUUGACAUAUAGUAAACACAUGUCAUGGUGGUUUGUUGUACAGAUUAUUACAUCACCCAGGUACUAAGCCCAGUACCCAAUAGUUGUCUUUUCUGCUCCUCUCCCUCCUCCCGCCCUCAAGAAGACCCCCGUGUCUGCACUUUCCUUCUUUGUGUUCGUAAGUUCUUAUCAUUUAGCUCCCAAUGCUUUCCAUUCUUUUAGAUAUAUGUGCCCUUGGCAUUUUUGCCCUUUUGGGCCCCUUCUUCCAG